CUUUGGGCUUGGGAUAACUCUAUAGAGGAAAGAAGGACCCACUUGAAAUUCUGGCAUCCCUCUCACAGCACCCCCUUCCUGCCUACCUGUCCCAUCCAAUUGAGAACAGGGCACACCCUUGGGUGUACCCACGCUACACUACAAUAAGUGCCGACUCAAAACACGAUAGUUUUCCCCUGGAAGUUACUGUCCAGCCUCCUGGAUCAGGAACGUACUUUUCUGAGAAAUCUCCUGCUGCAAGGCAAGAUUUCCUAAUAAAACACAAACAGGCUCACCAUUGGGACACGACUCUCUCUAUCUGAUCAAGGCCAGGUUCUCAUGGAACAUAAGUACCUGGCCCAGGGGCCCCUGCUGGAUUUGUGCCACUGAGUAUCCCAUUUCCUGGGAGAUGACAUAUGAUCCAUGAGACCCUGGUUGAUGUUACAGUUCUCUUUUCCUUUAUUCAGAUAAAUUAUGUUUGUUUCUUAGACUUGGAGGCAGCAAGAGACUGACAGGCAGCAAUGGGAGCUGCAAUAGGAGAGCAGGAGGAGAGAGAACACGCUCAGAAAGGCAUGUCUCAGCCCUACAGUGUAUAGUCAUCCAUGAGUAUGCCACUCCCAAAAUCAUACUACUCCAUCAAGUGAGCUCCUUUCUCAUGAGGAGGCAUGUUGCUCAGCUGCCAUUUUCUAUUUUUAACUGGAAGUGAGUAAUAGUAGCAUUCUGCUUCCUGGGAGGUGGUACUGUUACCCAACCAAGACUUUAUUGGUUCCCCUGCAUCCGCAACAUCCAGAAUGGGCAGAAUUUGGAAGUUGACUGAAAAUCACAACCAACUGGAAAUAUUUUCUGCAGCUCCUCAGCUGUGUUGCUCAUCUCCGAUCACCUCCUUUCUACAAGGUGACAUUUGGAGCAGUUUAUCCCCUGCAGAUCCUCCCUGGAUUUGUGUGUCUCUGCACUGCCUGUUUCCUGGCAAGUGGGGCUUUGUGUAAAGGCUUUAUCAAUUCUCCUCACGCAUUCUGUCUCCUAUUCCUCUUUUAGAAGGAGAGACAGCAGUGGCGGCUGCAGAAACCUCUGAGGAGGAGGGAGGAGCAGCAGAGAUUAGCCGGUAUGUAAAAGUAGUGAAUCACAGUUUAUUAAAAUGAUCAUCAUUGUCUGAAA